AGCGAACGCUGGCGGCAGGCCUAACACAUGCAAGUCGAACGAUCCUUCGGGAUAGUGGCGGACGGGUGAGUAACACGUGGGAACGUGCCCUUUGGUUCGGAAUAACUCAGGGAAACUUGAGCUAAUACCGGAUGUGCCCUUCGGGGGAAAGAUUUAUCGCCAUUGGAGCGGCCCGCGUUGGACUAGCUAGUUGGUGGGGUAAAGGCCCACCAAGGCUACGAUCCAUAGCUGGUCUGAGAGGAUGAUCAGCCACACUGGGACUGAGACACGGCCCAGACUCCUACGGGAGGCAGCAGUGGGGAAUCUUGCGCAAUGGGCGAAAGCCUGACGCAGCCAUGCCGCGUGAAUGAUGAAGGUCUUAGGAUUGUAAAAUUCUUUCACCGGGGACGAUAACGACGGUACCCGGAGAAGAAGCCCCGGCUAACUUCGUGCCAGCAGCCGCCGUAAGAC
rnacentral:rRNA from 1 species